AGAAGAAGAAAACCGGUUUCCAUGGAACAGUUCACCAUCAAAAGCAAUGAGGGCAGAAACUCAAACAUGACAAGAACCCAAGGAGCAGAUACAGCUGCUGUGGAGGAGUGCUUCUUCCUGGCUUGCUCCCCCUGGCCUCCUCAGCAUGUUUUCUUAUGAAACCAAGGACUAUCAACUCAAGGGUGGACCCACCCACAAUGUGUUGGGCCUUCCUACAUCAAUCACUAAUUAAGAAAAUGCCCUAAGAGCUUCUCUUGGCACCUAAAGGAGGCAUUUUCUCAGGCUGCGUGUGGAAGUAUGUUUAAUGUGUUGCCUCAAAGCAGACUGAAAGACGGAUCUCUGUAUCCAGACUACUGGGCAGAGAGCAGGAUUCUCAGAAGUAUGGAUAAUCCUGAGAGAACAGGUGUUUUUAGGCUGAGCGAAUGUACAGCAUUUGGAUUCAGAUGUCUCCGGGAGCUGAAAGAAGCUAUUGGAUCUCCUGAAACCAGAGAGACAGACAGUAAGGGGUCACCAAAUAUGGAUGCUAGAAACCAUAUUUUUGUCCUCUAGAAAUACAGCUAAUGCUCUAACCCUAAAGUAGUCUCUCUAGUUCCCAUUUGCCUUUAUGUGAAAAGUCUUUGUAUCUGGCAGAUCUUCACAGAUAGACUUUACUUUCAAAAACAAGAGGUUUCCAGUAAUUCUGUAUUACUGUAAGAACAUGCCAACUUGAUUUCCUCAUUUUCAGUUUAUCUCUUAUUUUCCUUAUAACAGUAACUAAAGAUUUUGUAGAAAUGCACAUAAAUUUAUAUUAAUAUAUAUUCUUCCAGGUUCAUCAGCAAUUCAAACUUAUAUUAUGAAUUCCCAUGUCAUGUAAACAUCUUUGAAAGGCAAUACUAUCCUACAUCUUUAGAAAAUUAACAAACCGAAGUAGGUAAUAAAGCUAUAAACACUAGGCAAUCAUUGUUUGAUCAAUGUCACUUAAGGAUUAUAGUUUUUUACCACACACAGUCAGGAAAAUGAUAGAAGCCAAAGUAAUUUAUAGAAUGCAUUAAGUUUAGUCAGACAUGCAGAAAAUGCUCUGUGGAACUUAUUGAGGAUUUUGAUUUCUCUUGCUAUUCUCAUAUUGAUGGAUCUGUUUCUCACGUUCUUCCCUUACUAUUUUCCACAAUACAGACUGUGUCCCUUGGUAUGAGUAUGCUAUCAGGAAACAAGAUAUGUAGAGUGGUCACUGGGAUUCCCUUAGCAAUAUUUUAUAGCUAAUUAUCAUGCAAAAUGAGAUAAUUUGAAUUGCUGUCCAGCUUCUUUGAAUUGUGUGUGUGUGUGUGUGUGUGUGUG
rnacentral:sRNA from 1 species